UUGGUGGUGUUGUGCACUCGCUAUAUACAACACAAGCUGUGUGUGAACUGGCUUUACUCUUUGGUGAAGAAGAUGUAGAGUUAGUGGUUGCCUUAGUUUUAAAUUGAUUAAAACAGCUCUUAAAAGACCCCUUUAACAAUGACUAACUCUAUUCAUUCUUAUGACUUAAUAUCAGUCUCACGAACUUUCUGCAGUGACUAUUUAGUCUAUUUGGAAUAUCCCUUCUCAUUCCUAGACUUGAAGAAAAUGGAUCGAACCUAUCCAUCGGGUUUUUGAUCAUCCCUCUCUCAAUCGCGUCCGCAAAUUGGUCGUGGAUGCUAUAUAUGUUGUUUAUUCGACCCAUGUGUAAAGUGAAACGGGAAAAAGCUAGAAUUAAAUUAACUAUCCAAGACAUGAGACCAAGGGAGAGCAAUUCUACUUGCAGAAGGAAUAAUUCAACAAUGUUUGUCAAAACACAUGUAAAUGAUGAAAAGCUCUCGCUCUUUCAAAUUUGUUCACAUUACUUUAUAAAUAAUUAAAAACACAUGAUUCCAAACUA